rnacentral:lncRNA from 1 species
GACCACUUAUUUAUAUUUACACAUGUUUAAAGGAAAAAGAAAAAUUAAGUAUGAUACAUAUCCAUUUGUUCCUAAAAAUAGGUUUAGACAAUGAUUACCAUACAUUUUAAUUUCUUUCCCUCUCAAAAAUGACACUGAAAUGUCCAUGAAUGCAUUUAAAGUUUUUGGAGAUUGCAAAACUCUUUCCUUGAUUUUAAAAUGGUUCAAAUAGAAAAUGAAAAAAAAAACUAGUUUGUUAAUUUCCCUUUUCUUUAAUGGUUUCCAUAGUGUGUUAGCUAAACAAGUUAAGUAUAUAACAUAACAGUAGUUAACUAGUAUUAUUUUAGCCGAUGAAGUAGGUCUAAGUUUGAUGUGAGAAAAUGACUUUAGAUUAAAACUUUGGAGCUCUCGACCAUAAACAUGAAAAUGGAUUUGGCAACAACCGUUUCUUCUUUUUUUUUUUUUUUUUUUUUUUUUUUGUCAGACAACAACCGUUUCUUCUUGUGAAGUGUUUGUUGCAUUUCCUUAAACAUUUAUUUUAUUUACACAGUUUUAUACGAAGAAAAGAAUAAAAUUGUGAAAAUAUCAAUAUCUUGGAGUUUGUCCAUCUAUUAAACGCCUAGAGCUUUAUUUUUCGUAUAUAAUAAUUUUAUAUAUAAGAAAUUUCGGACGAUGGAUUUUAGAUUUUGGAGACUUCGUGUAGGCUAUAGACUGGAUCUCCUGUUUAUAUAAAUAGUUAAACUAGUAUGUUGCAAAUAGUAGAUCGUUGUACAUGUUCUUUUAUCAUACGAUAUAAUCUUUAGUAUAUAGAUUCAGACAGAUGAGUGGGAGUAAGAAAUAAUGGCUUAACGCUGAAG